UGCCCCAUGGCCCAGCUGGUUAAGGCGUCCGACUGUUAAUGUUCUCUCAUCGGGAAAUCGAGAGUUCAAUCCUCUCUGGGGCAG